AGCAGAGCUCAGGCCACAGCACCUGCACCCGUUUUCUGCUGCUGCACACAAGGGCUCUGUGCAUUCCGCAUCCAGGUGUGCCCCUCCUCUUCUGGAGGAUUCUUUUUCAGGCUGUCCCAGAGACUUUGCAGCACAGCAUCCUUGCUCUAUUUCUUCCUGCAACAUCUCUGCUGAAGCUCUAUUGCUUUUGGCAACUCUUCCGUCUAUUUUGUGGUUUAGGUGUCUCCUACUUUUACUAAAAAUGGAAUUUGUGUUUUUAUCGCUCAAGUCCUUUUUGCUUUUGGAUUACUUCCAGAAAAUGAAGGGAGGGUUACUAACUUUAUGCCAUCUUCAAACCAGAAGAUCUUAGAUUAGUAAGAUCAUGUUGGCCAUGGCAUGGAGAAUGGGCUGGAGGUGGAGAGACUGGAGGUUGGAAGUCCAGUUAGGAGAUUGCUCCUGCGCUGGGGAGUUGGUGUUAGGACAGAAGAUCCAAGACGCGUUUCAGAGAGCCCCUCUUCUUGGGCCUGCGAUUCCUCACCUGGAAGGGAGAAGAGUGGACUUCCUGCCUAGAGAACACCUUGGUAAACUCUUUGUGGUUCCUGUCAUGAGAAGGUGUGCAGCUUAGGGAAAAAGCCUGUGAGCUCUGGAAUCAGAUGGAACUGGAUAUGAAUUUCCAUUUAGUGCUUGUUGGAUUAAAUGUGAUGCUACUUCUCCCAGCCGAAAGAAUAAAACUGGUAAGAGGAAGGGAAAUGCAGCCUCAGUAAGGAGGCCUCCAUUCUGGAAGGGCUUCCCAGGCCCAGAGAAGGGAGAAAGUAAUUUGGAACCACCCAAGUAUUGGUGAUGCCAGGCCUCACCCUACCCUGGGGAUAUUUGAAUCUCAAAAAGGGAGCAUGGGAAUCUGACAAAGCACUUGCAUGUAUAAAGAACUCCUCCAAAUCAACAAGGCAAAAACCUCAUUAGAUACAUAGGCAAAAACCUCAGAAGAGCCACAUCACAAAGGAGCACCUCCAAAUGGCCAAGAAGCAUAUGAAAAUAUGUUCAAUCUCAUUAGCCAACAGGGAAUUCAAAUUAGAACUACACCAGGAUGGCUGAAAGUGCAAAGACUGACAAUAUCAAGGGCUGGUGGGGAUGCAGAACAACUGGAACUCUCCUAUGCACUGCGGAAGGGGUAAAUUAAUACCGCCCCUUUGGAAGAACAGUUUAGAAGCAUCACUAAAGCUGAAUAUAUUCAUGCCUACUCCGGAAAUCCUGAGCCCAGGUAUAUAUCUAACAGAAGUUUGUUUAUAAAGGCACCAAAAGUCAAUUACACAAGAUACAAGAAUGUUCAUAGUAGAGCCGUUUGUAUUAGUCAUAAACUGGAAACCACCCAAAUGCCCAUCAGUGUGGCUCCCUUUGAAGAACUGCCUUGGGGUUCAUGUUGCAGCAUCAAACAGGGAUGGAAGAUGCAUCUUGCUUUAGCAGCAGGAGCCUGGAAAGCAGCUGAAGCCCUGGAGGGUGCCUGGCACACAGAAUCUUGUGCUGAGCCCGGAGCACAAUGGGAGCGGGCUGGCGGGGUGGGUUCACAGCUGGACUGGGAGCAGCAGACAUACAGGCCGUAGGCACAGACAUAUAAAGACAGUCAUGCAGAUUGCAGGAUGCCUGAGAGCACAGACUCUCACAUGCACAAAUACGUGCAUGAUCGCCAGUGUGCAUCCAGACAGCCCCACAUGCAUGCACACGCAUGCACACAUGUGAUGUGUACAUAGAUGGACACAUGUCUAUGCCCACAAACACUGCAGAGACACAGAAGUGUCUGGCAAGGAACACUAUUUUGUCCUCAAUUUUCUGCCAGUGAGAGUCUACUGACUCCAUCUCUGAAAUGUCUCUACUUAUUGUCCCUCUUCUCCACCUGCACCACAUCCCUAGUCCCUGAAACUCCCACCGAGACCCCUGGGCAAUAGCAAAGUCUGCACAGGAUUCCUGCUCCGCCUCUACCCCACCCUUAAGCCCAUCCUACAUGCAAGAGCAGGAGUUAUCUGGGUAUCAAGCAAAUCUGACCACAUCACCUCCCCACUGCUUAAAACCCUUUCCUACAGGAUGAAGUUGAAAUCACUUGACAUCCCAUAUAAGGCCCUUGACUGUCUGGCAUCAGCCAUAGUCUGGCCUCAGGCCCUGGCAUGGAGUCCCCUGGACUCAGUGCUCUGGCUGAGGGCCUCCAGGAUGAAGAUACCCUGUGCAAAGCCUCACACUUUUGCUGUUGCUGGGCUCACUGUGUGAAAUUCCCUCCUCCCUCCUUCCACCUUCCCUAUGCUGAACUGCCACUCCUCCAUCCUCCAUGGCCAGCUAAGCCAACACCUCCCCACUUCCUCCUGACAACCCAGGCACAGCCACUGACCUGUCCCAUGGCUGUCACAGCCCUUUCUUGGGCUCUCAAUGGUAUCAUUGUCACCUGUGUGCUCAUGAGCCUCUGCCACUCAACUCCAAGCACAUCAAAUAAAGAGCUCAAAACAU
rnacentral:lncRNA from 1 species